rnacentral:rRNA from 1 species
GGUGGCCUCUCCUUGGAAGCCAUCACCGGAAGAUGAGUCUGCGUCCCAUCAGCUAGUUGGUAAGGUAAUGGCUUACCAAGGCGAAGACGGGUAGCUGGUCUGAGAGGAUGAUCAGCCACACUGGUACUGGAACACGGACCAGACUCCUACGGGAGGCAGCAGUGGGGAAUAUUGGGCAAUGGGCGAAAGCCUGACCCAGCCACGCCGCGUGAGUGAUGAAGGCCUGGUGUAAGCUCUGUGGGAAGGGGCGGAAAAACUACAGACCUAAUACGUCUGAGGUUGACGGUACCUUCUUAGCAAGCACCGGCUAACUCUGUGCCAGCAGCCGCGGUAAGACAGAGGGUGCAAACGUUGCUCGGAUUUACUGGGCGUAAAGCGCGUGUAGGCGGGCGAAUAAGUCGGGUGUGAAAUCCCUGGGCUCAACCUAGGAACUGACAUCCGAAACUGUUCACCUGGAGUGAUGGAGAGGAAGGCGGAAUUCCCGGUGUAGAGGUGAAAUUCGUAGAUAUC